AGAGUUUGAUCCUGGCUCAGGACGAACGCUGGCGGCAGGCUUAACACAUGCAAGUCGAGCGCCCCGCAAGGGGAGCGGCAGACGGGAGAGUAACACGUGGGAACGUACCUUUCAGUUCGGAACAACCAAGGGAAACUUUGGCUAAUACCGAAUACGCCCGUAAGGGGAAAGAUUUAUCGCUGAAAGAUCGGCCCGCGUCUGAUUAGCUAGUUGGCAGGGUAACGGCCUACCAAGGCGACGAUCCGUAGCCGGCCUGAGAGGGCGGACGGCCACACUGGCACUGACAUACAGGCCAGACUCCUACGGGAGGCAGCAGUCGGGAAUUUUGGGCAAUGGGCGAAAGCCUGACCCAGCAACGCCGCGUGAAGGAUGAAGCUUUUCGGAGUGUAAACUUCAUAAGAAUGGGACGAAUAAGGAGGGGUUAACACCCCCUUUGAUGACGGUACCAUUUGUAAGCUCCGGCUAACUCCGUGCCAGCAGCGGCGGUAAUAC
rnacentral:rRNA from 1 species